rnacentral:other from 1 species
CAAUAUUGAUUUAAUCCUCUGUUCUUUGCCCUCUGGCUAACCAGCUUAAUCAAUAUUGCGUGUUGUGUUUGCAUAUUAUCCGAAUCCUUUCGGACGGAUGGAAUAACCAUCCUUUAUUUCCUGUAUUUUUGACUAUACAGUCAAAGCUAUUUUUAGCACUGCGCCCCAACGCAGUGCUAUUUUUU